GCUAGUCUGCUUUUGCAAACGUGUAACUGUGUUUCUGACUGAUGCCUGCUAAAAUGUCAGCUUUUCAGGAAAUCUAACAAGCAUAAGUUUCUGCAUUUCAUGGUUUUACCAAGGAACAGAUUGGAUGAUGCUACUGUGUCUGUGACAAGACAGAUCCUAGCUGAAGAAAGCAGUUGCAUUUGCCAUCAAGCUGCCCUUUGAAACGCUGUGAGAAGCUGGAAGGUUUCUAACUGGCUUGAGAGAGUUGGCCAUGGUAUGGAAAGAGUCAACAGCUCUACAGAUGGAGGAAGAGGCAGUUCCUGUCUGCAACUGCUUCUUGUCCAAAUUGCCUUGAAAGGUAUAGAAGGAAGAUGAAGACAUAAACCGUAGUACAGCACUGAUCUAUCUGAUAUUCUGCAAAGCCCCCAAUUGCCCCCCUGAGAGAACUCCUCCCUGUCUCACUCCGGUAGAUGGUGUCAUCCACCAUAACAGAAUUAAGAUGUUCUCCUUCCAAACCGAUACCCUCUGUGACAAGUGGGAGGUGGUUGCAAGGAUGGUAUCUGUGUUACAUUCGGACAUCUCUUUGCAAGAUCGCACCAGAGCUUUCCCUGUUAAAUUCAGGAGCCUCUUCCAAGACUUGGAGGAGGUGGGUGUGAGGUUGAAAAUCCUCGACGUGACAAGAGCCUUUGUUCUUACGCCUCAUAUAAACUGGCACAUCUUCAACUGGGGAGGGGAUUUUUGUAUUUUCCUUUCAAAAUUUUCUUAUUUCUUAAAAGAGAGAGUAAAUUCUUUCUUCUGUAGCCCAUUUCCAUUUCUGGAAGGCUAGAGCUAGGCAAAAGGGUGGAAGUUCAGGGAUUUACCAAUAUACUGAGGGGCUUCCAAGCUGAAUGAAUUAUUUUUCUCAUCUUGCAUCUUAAUUGGCAAGAAAAGAAAUCAUUCUUUGUUAAAAUAGACAUUCGGAAAGAUGACCGGAGUUGUACAAAAGCACGGCCACCCAUCCCUUCCUUCUCUGCUGUAGCCAUCCCUAUCCAAAACAUCUGUAAGAACAUACAGAGAAAUGGUCCUUCAGUAUCAUCUGUGUAUCUGCUCUCUCUGCCCUACAGGAAUAGAAGAUAAUUAUACUUUCUCCCUUUGCUCUCCCUUUUUUCCUUUUCGCUAAUAAGUGUGCCCUAACAUACAGAAUGUUUAGGGUUUUUUGACAGAGGAAUCUAAACCUGUGACCCAGAGCUUCUGUUAGGCUUUCAAGAACUGAGCAGCUACAUGCUGUUGUCUUCCCUCCUUUGCAAAUCAAAACAUGUAUUGCACCGGAUACAAAUGUGGGUUGCUGAAGUGGCAGUUGCUGUAGUUGGCACAGCAAGGGCAUGCAAUCCCAAGCAGGCAUCAAGUAGGCCAGCAAGAUAAGCUGGAUUAUAAAAUUUAGUGUGUGCUUACAAGUUUGGGAAACGUAGUAGAGGAUUAACUACUGCUUAUCAUUACUGGCUAGUGCCCUUGGCAAGUAGACAGCAAUGUCUUACUUCCAUUUUUUGAACAACAGUGGAGAUAGUGAUGUUGGAAAAGACAGACCACAGUCGUGUGAAAUAACAAGUUCCUGGUCACGUGGGAUUCACUAUAAACAUUCUCAGCUAAUAAUAAGCACGGUGUGUAACGUCGUGCCCAGUACUUUUAUAUAUACUUACUUGUUGCAGUGGCCCGCU
ensembl:lncRNA